rnacentral:pre_miRNA from 1 species
UAACAGUGUGAUUCUCCCUUGGCAGGUGCUACAUCUAUUCUUCAUCAGAAUGGCCUUUCUGCCAAAGGAGAAUUGCCCUGCCAUU